UAGUAAACUCCAGCUGGGAACGACACUCCUUAGCAGAUACACCAGUUCUUUAGUGCUGGGAUUCCAAGUAAUUCGUCUCCCUCCACAGCCUGCGAUUGGUGUUGUGUCAGCUGAUCAUAUCCCUCACCCACACGGCAAACAGACUUUCUGUAGUGGAACGGGUAGCAAGGCAGAUCACCUGCAGUGAAGGAUCCACCCUCUCCUCAACAUUGGAGAUGCCACAGCAAAUCCUUUCUUCCUGUGUUUGAGACAGAGGUGGUGACAUUCAGAAAAAUCAAGAAGUUUCUCAUCUUAAGGGCUGUCUGAAGAGCUUGCACAGCAACUCCAGUAUUCCCAGUCCUUUCCAGCACAACUCCAGCACAAAAUGGAGUUGCAUUGCAUUGAAAUUUCUGUAUGUGCCUGUCAUCAAAACUCCUACUAUGCAGGCUGUAUCAAAAUCCUAUCUUGGGGUCCAGGAGUGGAGAUGGGACUCUGCAGUGAGAGUUGUCUGUGUAUCUUUGCCCUUCUGAUUCUCAGCUGUUAAGAAUAUGCUAAAGUGGUGCUGAAGUGUCAAGGUUGUGGCUUUGAUCGCCAUAUGGGCCAUUCAUUUAGGAGUUGGACUUGAGCUGGUCCAUGUGGGUUCCUUCCAACUCAGAAUACACUAUGACAUCUACAUCUGUGUCAAGAGAUGUUUUCCAACAUCUUAUAUUUUUAUAAUCUAAAAUCACUCCAUGAGGCACAGGUAAACAUGAUCUUCAUUGGCAGGAGAUAAAGCUGAAGCCCAAGAAGAUGUACCUUGCUCUGAUGUGGGUCCCAUUUGUAGCAAUAAAAGCCCCGAUAACCUGCAUUCCUAUCCUUUCCUGCUUAUCUGUUUUCUACUGGGUGAAGACUGUCAUGGCAAACAUAUUUUAUGACAAUUCAAACUGAGGGAGAGCACUUUCAUGUGGAUUUGUAUCUGUUGGGGUUGUGUUAUAUCUAAGAAGAACUUUUGUUUGUGCUUUUUCCUCCAAAGGGGCACUAACAGCCACUGCUUUUUUGUGAAGCACUUGACAUAAUUGUAUAUUUUUGUAACUGUAUCCCCUUUGCCAGAUACUGUGAUUGCACUAGUCUCUUUUUCUUAGGAAAUGAAACUAAAAUAGCUCUACAGCCAAUUUUGGUUUUUCAAGCACAUUAUCCAGAUACAUUAAAAGCAACAAUAAAAAUAAUAUCUCUGGCAGUUCCUUGAUACAGUGAGUCCAGUUUGACCCAA